UAUAGGAGAAGCCCCCUUAUUACUGAGAAGACCGGAGUUCAACAACAACUAAAGUGUUUCACUAUUUAUUUCUAAUAGUAACAGAGAUUGUUGUUAAUAUUUUUUUCCUGUUGUACAGGGAGUGAAGGAGAUGUUAUUUCAUGAUGUUAUCCUUGCUGCUUUUAUCUUUAGUCUUUGUCCUUCAGGAGAUGGUCUCACUCAAAACUGGGUAAAACAGUGGCCAGAUGAGGUUUACGGUACACCUGGAGAAAACAUCACCAUACAUUGUCAGAUUCAUGCAGAUGUACAGAAGACCAUCUCCAGGUGCCGUGUACAGUGGUACACCGUGGACAGAAAUGGGACAUAUGCAAGAGUCGACAAACAUUCCCAGUUUAGUGGCAGACAUUUUGAGAACAGUAACGAAAGCCAUUGGAGCUCAAGUCUCACUGUGAACUCUCUGGAGAUGAACGAUACGGGAACGUUCUGCUGUAAUUAUAUCUGCAAAAUUAAUGGCACUGCUCGACAGCACUAUGGAACCAGGACACGACUUGUUGUACAUUUUAAGAUUGAAAACGAAACUGUUACUCAACAGUACCCACUGCUGGCCACCACUAUUACAGAUGGAGUAAAGGGCAAAUCCAGAGUUUGCAUGCUCUGCUCAUUUCUUGUUUCAAUUGUCUUAUUUUCUAAAUUUGUUGUAUUUAUAUUUUUUACUUUUGUUAUACUUCUUUCUCCAUAAUAAACCAGACUCUAGAUACAUAUCUAUACACAUUAUGUUCACAUCCUACUCGUUACAUUAUUACUGAGAUUUUCUCUUUGGUGGAACAAUUGAAUCAUCGUGUGGGCUGAUUGUUAAUUCUCACACAUGUGUGGUUAUUAAAUGUUGAACGGUCCUGCCAUUUAUUUCACACAAAAAAAAUUUUUUUCCAUCUAUAUAUACCAGCAGCGACAGAAGGAUUUGUUUUCCGACAGUAAGUUUACAGGGGUGUGAACCACCCCCGUUUGAGGUUUCUUAUUACAGUUUUUUUUUUCAGUCGGUUUGGUGCAUUUCACAAAUCGCUUUUAAAAUGUGCAAAAGAACAAUUCGUACAAACUGCACAACAUCAUGGAUGUCCUGCAAAAGCCUGUAACUUAUAUUGAAUUUAAAAAAUGUCAUCAGUGAACAUGCCAAUGCCAUCAAAAUGGCAACUCCGUGUGUCAUUGUUCAUGAAAAAGACAGUCAAAAUAUUAAGCCAUGUUUUCAAUUUAAAACAAGUGUACACAAUUAUGUGUCAGUGUUUUCUGAUGUAAACUGUGGAGAAAUUCACUUUUUCACUUUUAUUUUUGUUAACAAAUUACACACGUGAUUUUGAAAUAAAAUCAGAUUUUUACAGUAAUAAUAAAAAAAUACAAAACUAGAAAGGUUAACUGUACAUUGUAAGAAAUAUCACGUUUUGUAACUCAUAAUUUAAGCUUCACAGAAAUGUAUCAAUUCAGUUCACAUUUAUAAAAGACAAAAAAAAACUAUGGAAAACAUGCUUACAGUAACAGAUUAUGACACAAAGGUCAACAAUUUUGUAAUGUGCCUUGUACGAUGAACCAAUUCCUAAAUGUUUUGAGGUGUAAGACUAUUCAGCAGAAACCAGUAUAAUGUAUUUUAAUAAAAAUGACAUAAGCAAUUUAAAAUGUAAGAAAAAGUAGACAAUUGUACAUAAUCAGGUGGCGGAGCCAGACAUUGUAGACAUUGGGGGCUUAGCCCAAAUCUAGGGGCUCCAAAGCAUGGUCCCCUGCUAAUAUUUUAUCUCCAUUUACCGCAGCUUUAUAAACCAUGUUUUAGUCUAAGUGUUCUCUGUAUUGUCAUUUUGAAAUUGUAACAUAACAAUUUUUUUGACAAUGACACUUUAACUUCUUUUAUCCAAAAAUGGGUUUGCCACCCCCUUGCUCCGCCCCUCAACAUAUUUAUCUGCAUGACUGUACCAAAGCAUUUGCAAUUUGUCCAAAACAAUGAGAAUUUGCUUUUAUGUUGUGCACAACGGCCUUGAUUAUGUGGAGGUUAAACAAAGUGUUUUGAAAAAUUUAUUUCUGAUCCAGAAAUCCAGAAAUGGUCCAAAGUCACUGAAAAAAAACUGUAGGCUAAUACAGAAACCUAUGUGAUCUUUUAUUGAAAAUUUAAGUAAAUAUUCAGUACUGUGCAAAAGUCUUAGGCAUGCCACAAUUGAUUAGUGUUUUUUGCAAUUUAGUGAUCAUAUAUAAUUGUUUCUCAGUCUGUUUAAUGGAAUACAUCCAGAAAAUACAGGAAAUGUGUAUAUAUUAUAUAAAAAACUGUAUAGGAAUGUAAACUGAUGUGUCAAGUUUUUAGGGUAAACUCCACUUUCACUAAACUGCACGAUCUCUUAAACCUAAAUAAAAUUAAAUCCUAAUUUCUAGUUUUAAAGAAAUUAGUCUUUUUACUUCAAGAUGUGUUUUGUGCAAA